rnacentral:pre_miRNA from 1 species
ACCUUAUAUAGCCCACAAACAAUGCCUUGUAUAACUGCAGAAGACUUUUCUCCGAAGGGCCCCAUCUCAGUCCUGCUAUAACACGAAGAACAUACACAAAACUGAUUAGUUUGUUUCCGCA